UACGGAGGGUGCAAACGUUGCUCGGAAUCAUUGGGCGUAAAGCGCACGUAGGCGGUCUCGCAAGUUGGGUGUGAAAGCCCUCGGCUUAACCGAGGAAGUGCAUUCAAAACUACGAGACUUGAAUACUGGAGAGGGUUGCGGAAUUCCCGGUGUAGAGGUGAAAUUCGUAGAUAUCGGGAGGAACACCAGUGGCGAAGGCGGCAUCCUGGACCGGUAUUGACGCUGAUGCGCGAAAGCCAGGGGAACAAACGGG
rnacentral:rRNA from 1 species